rnacentral:lncRNA from 1 species
GUCGCCGCCUGGGGGUGGGCGUCUUCUCUCAACCGAAGCUGGGAGUUGGGGAGCUGGAGGGUCCAGGAUGAGAAUUCAGUGGCGCUACUACCCCGGAGCUGCUUGUGGUUCAGAGAUCAGAAAGGUGUCCUGAGGACUGGAGGCAGAAAUCCAGGCGUGGCGUACUGGAAGGCGCACUAGGGGAGGGCAGCCUGGCCCAGAAUUUCUUUGCAUUUUAAAGGCCACACAUUCAGUCUCCCCGGGGCGCUACGGAGGUAGUCACCGCCACAUCCAGGACUCCUUCCACAGAGGCCCUCCCUAUCCUGAAGAGAUUAAGAGUCUAGCACCUUUUAAGGUCUGAAUAGGAAACAUUUGUCAUCUGUCAUCUCUAAGGGCAGCCACUGUAAGACUUCAGAGAACCUUGCUCUCCACAAUUUUUUAUCUUAACCUGAACAUUUCCUUUCUAUUGAUCCCAGGUCUUUAGACAAACUCAACCAAUUGUCAAUCAGAAAAUGUUUACAUUUAUCUAUAGCCUGGAAGCCACCCCCCGCCCCGCGCACUUUGAGUUGUCACGCCUUUUUGAACCAAACCAAUGUAUUUCUUGAACGUAUUUCAUUGAUGUGUCAUGCCUCUCUAAAAUGUAUAAAAUCAAGCUGCACCCUGACCACCUUGGGCACAUGUUCUCAGGACCUCCUGAGGGCUGAGUCACGGGCCAUGGUCACUCAUAUUUGGCUCGGAAUAAAUCUCUUAAAAUAUUUUACAGAGUUUGACUCUUUUUUGUUGACAUAGUAGAGUGAGGAGUGAACAAGG